AGAGUUUGAUCAUGGCUCAGAUUGAACGCUGGCGGCAGGCCUAACACAUGCAAGUCGAGCGGUAGAGAGAAGCUUGCUUCUCUUGAGAGCGGCGGACGGGUGAGUAAUGCCUAGGAAUCUGCCUGGUAGUGGGGGAUAACGUCCGGAAACGGACGCUAAUACCGCAUACGUCCUACGGGAGAAAGCAGGGGACCUUCGGGCCUUGCGCUAUCAGAUGAGCCUAGGUCGGAUUAGCUAGUUGGUGGGGUAAUGGCUCACCAAGGCGACGAUCCGUAACUGGUCUGAGAGGAUGAUCAGUCACACUGGAACUGAGACACGGUCCAGACUCCUACGGGAGGCAGCAGUGGGGAAUAUUGGACAAUGGGCGAAAGCCUGAUCCAGCCAUGCCGCGUGUGUGAAGAAGGUCUUCGGAUUGUAAAACACUUUAAGUUGGGAGGAAGGGCAGUAAAUUAAUACUUUGCUGUUUUGACGUUACCGACAGAAUAAGCACCGGCUAACUCUGUGCCAGCAGCCGCGGUAAUACAGAGGGUGCAAGCGUUAAUCGGAAUUACUGGGCGUAAAGCGCGCGUAGGUGGUUCGUUAAGUUGGAUGUGAAAUCCCCGGGCUCAACCUGGGAACUGCAUUCAAAACUGACGAGCUAGAGUAUGGUAGAGGGUGGUGGAAUUUCCUGUGUAGCGGUGAAAUGCGUAGAUAUAGGAAGGAACACCAGUGGCGAAGGCGACCACCUGGACUGAUACUGACACUGAGGUGCGAAAGCGUGGGGAGCAAACAGGAUUAGAUACCCUGGUAGUCCAA
rnacentral:rRNA from 1 species